ensembl:lncRNA
GGUAUCCAGUAUUUAUAUAUUUGUUGUUGUGGUAUCCAGUAUUUAUAUAUGUGUUGUUGUGGUAUCCAGUAUUUAUAUAUGUGUUGUUGAGGUAUCCAGUAUUUAUAUAUGUGUUGUUGUGGUAUCCAGUGUUUAUGUGUGUUGUUGUGGUAUCCAGUAUUUAUAUAUGUGUUGUUGAGGUAUCCAGUAUUUAUAUAUGUGUUGUUGAGGUAUCUGGUAUUUUUAUAUGUGUUGUUGUGGUAUCCAGUGUUUAUGUGUGUGUUGUUGAGGGAUCCAGUGUUUGUGUCCAUUGUUGAGGUAUCCAGUGUUUGUGUGUAUUGAGGUAUCCAGUGUUUAUGUGUGUUGUUGUGGUAUCCAGUAUUUAUGUGUGUUGUUGUGGUAUCCAGUGUUUAUGUGUGUUGUUGUGGUAUCCAGUGUUUAUAUGUGUUGUUGAGGUAUCCAGUAUUUAUAUAUGUGUUG